GGCUACUAUAUUGUCCUGUCACAGCAGUACUGAAAAAUAGAUACUGAUGUGUCGGGACAUAUUCCUAGCC
rfam:Folsomia candida strain VT population Fcan01_Sc006, whole genome shotgun sequence.